AAAAAUAAAAGUCAAGAUAAGGAUAAGGAUGAAAUCAAGUUCUAGAGAAUUCAAAGGAUAAGGAUGAGAAUAAAAAAUUAUUUCAGGAAGGACUAAACUGCAAACUGAUUUAACUCUGAAGGACCAAAGUUAAUAACCGACCUAUUCUAUAGGGACCUCACUGUGACAUCAGAAAUAGUUUUAAUUCAAAUUCAGGUCCCUGGUUUUGUCUAUAAAUACCACCACCGAGUUCAAGUUCAAACCAGCUCAAAUUAGAGCAACCCAAGCCUCCAAAUACUUGCUAAACCUUCCCCUCAGCCUCCUAAAGCCUUCCCUAACCUCUUAUCCGCCCAACAACCACCACAAAACACCCAACCGAGCUCAAGAAAUUCCGAAACUUUGAGCUCUCGGUUCUCCCUCAAAUCUCCAUCAAUUUUGUCAAACCAAGAGUCUAUUUUGCUUAGAAUUUCACCAGGAAGCUAUUCGUGCAAGAAUUUUGAAGUUUGGAGGUCUAGAUUUCAUUCUGCCAUUGUUGACCGGAAAAGCUUCACGGUGUUCAUCGUUUUGGCCAAACCAGAGACCUUCUCAGCUACCCACCUAUACCAUUGAGUUCCUGGGAGUGAGAGCAAGCUUUUCCAACCGGUUUCCACCCUUAACUCCACCCUCCCGCCGGAGCUCCGCCGCCAACCACCACCUUCUCCGGCGAGCUCACCGGAAAAACUGUUCAGAACUUGGAUUUUCUUGCAUAGUUCAAAUCCUUGUCUUCCAUAGGUUCCAUAUACAUAUUCGGUUCGGAAAAUUAACUUGGUUUGAUAGGGUUUCAAGAGACGAGAAGGGACGGAGACCGAGGAGAAAGAACUAGAAUGAAAAAGUGACCGAGGCAGGAAGAGCUGUAAAUAGUUGUGAAUAUACGAGAGUGUUCGAGUAGAAUAAAGACCAGCUGAUGGAAGAAGACGUGUGCGACUGGACUCGUACUCUAUCAGACUGUAAAAUAAGGGUGAAAGCAGUGGGUUUUUGUAAUUAAGUUUGUCAAAAUAAUCGGGAAAGAUUCAGAGGAAUCCAUGCGAGACUCUGGGAUGUCUUGUCUAAGGAAAGGAAUUGCUUUUAAUGACGCUUAGCGCGGCUAACUUUCCUAGAGACGUUCUCAGACUAUCAAUUGGACAACGAUGAAUUCUGACCCAAAAGUCUUGUAUUUUUCAAGGUUCAUCAAUAAAAGUGCUGUUUUUCUGAAGGUAUUCUUAUUUUAUAGUUUAGGUAGGGUGUGAGUUUGGUCGUCACAGGCUUCGUUGGAGUUGUGAUUCGUCCAGAUCUAGCUUCACGCGCAUGCAGCCUCUGUUUCUCCCUCAGGUCCGGCGGUGGCUGGCAUGUGGUUCUCUGAGCAUGUGGCGUAGAUCUAGGAGGCUCGUAUUUGGAGCGUGGCGGCGGUCUUCCCGAUUUUGUUGGUCUGCGAUCUCAUCUCUUUCUUGACGCGUCCAUUCUUGUUGCUCUAGAUAUGAUGCUUCAUGCGUUCUGGCUUUUAUUUCGGAUCUGGUGCCUGCGGAGUGCUAAUUGUUGUUUCUCCUCCUCCACCUUUAUGCAAAUUUGGUGUCGGUGGCAGAUCUAGUACUUCUUCCAACUAUGUUCGUGAGGUGUUGCAAGGUAGAGUUUUGGACGCAAGAAUGGUGCUUUCGGUGUGUCGAUGUCGUCGUUUUGUCACGGAUCUGGUUUGGGCGCUUUUGUUGUGGGCUUACGAAGUGCUGCCCGAGGUCGUCAGUGAAGGUUAUGGGACAAUCUUGUGCUGAUUGGGGUUGUCAGCAGCGCGCCCAAUCUUGUGGCAGCUUUUUCUUUCCACUUGAUGUCCUGUGCUGUUUUGUGUCCCCUCUAAUAGCGAGAUGGGUCAUGCUUUUGUUGGGUUAUGUGGCUUUUCUUUGCCAUAUCUCGGUCCAUGACGGAUGUUCCUUCUCUUUGGUCGUUUGGUGCUUGAUCCAGGUUUAGACCUUGUCGAUGUCACUUAGGGUUUUUCCUACAAUUUGUGCAGGGUGAUUAUGAAGAAGGCAAAAGAUCCUAAAUGAAGCAUCAAAAAUGGAGAAACCCCACUUUGAAAGGUUUGGUUUUUGGUCAAGCGAGAACUAUGCUUGCUCAAGUGAGAUAUGGUGCUUCCAGGAAAGAAGAUCUUUGCUCGAGCCAGCACUGAGCAAGCCAAAACCAGAGAAGAAAAUAUUUUUCAGUGUGAAACUCGCUCACCCAAAAAAAACUCACUUGAGCCAAGUUCAAGUCGGAAGAACUCGCUCAAGCGAAGCUAAAUCUCACUCGAGCGAGCAAUGGUGGUGUAGGAAACCCACCAUGAAGAAAGAUACUUGCUCGAGCAGGGCAGAACACAUGUAUAACAUAUUUUUUUGAUUUUUUAUUAAUCUUGUUCACUUCCAGACCUUAGAAGCAAGGGAAAAAGCUAGGAGCACUUGGAGAGGAGGCUUGGGUGCCGGAUUCGACGACGAGAUAAUCGCGGAGUCUUCGGUUUUUGUCGUUUAUUUUCUAUGUUGAUAAAGUUAUUCAUCACAAUGGAUAACUAAUCUCUCUUUGUUGGCACCAGUAUGUAUUCUAUUUGAUUUAGCCCAUAUAUAAUCAUGUUCCUUUGC